AGAGUUUGAUCAUGGCUCAGAUUGAACGCUGGCGGCAGGCCUAACACAUGCAAGUCGAGCGGUAGCACAAGAGAGCUUGCUCUCUGGGUGACGAGCGGCGGACGGGUGAGUAAUGUCUGGGAAACUGCCUGAUGGAGGGGGAUAACUACUGGAAACGGUAGCUAAUACCGCAUAACGUCUUCGGACCAAAGUGGGGGACCUUCGGGCCUCACGCCAUCAGAUGUGCCCAGAUGGGAUUAGCUAGUAGGUGGGGUAAUGGCUCACCUAGGCGACGAUCCCUAGCUGGUCUGAGAGGAUGACCAGCCACACUGGAACUGAGACACGGUCCAGACUCCUACGGGAGGCAGCAGUGGGGAAUAUUGCACAAUGGGCGCAAGCCUGAUGCAGCCAUGCCGCGUGCGUGAAGAAGGCCUUCGGGUUGUAAAGCACUUUCAGCGAGGAGGAAGGGUAGUGUGUUAAUAGCACAUUGCAUUGACGUUACUCGCAGAAGAAGCACCGGCUAACUCCGUGCCAGCAGCCGCGGUAAUACGGAGGGUGCAAGCGUUAAUCGGAAUUACUGGGCGUAAAGCGCACGCAGGCGGUUUGUUAAGUCAGAUGUGAAAUCCCCGCGCUUAACGUGGGAACUGCAUUUGAAACUGGCAAGCUAGAGUCUUGUAGAGGGGGGUAGAAUUCCAGGUGUAGCGGUGAAAUGCGUAGAGAUCUGGAGGAAUACCGGUGGCGAAGGCGGCCCCCUGGACAAAGACUGACGCUCAGGUGCGAAAGCGUGGGGAGCAAACAGGAUUAGAUACCCCGGUAGUCCAA
rnacentral:rRNA from 1 species